ensembl:snoRNA SNORD15 Small nucleolar RNA SNORD15
CUUCAGUGAAGAAAUGAUGACGAGACAGAACAGUGCUCACUUGGACUCUGCUGGAAUCUGGUUCAGGUCCAUGUUCUGUGGUCCUGUUUCAGUCCUUCAGAGCCGUGGGUGCUUCUCAUGUGAAGACACUGAGGCAUUUGUCUGAGAAGG